ensembl:lncRNA
GACCAGUUUAUUCGACCUGGAAUAUAUAUUUUUGAAGUUUUCGUCCUAGUUCUCCUGGACCAGCGUCAGCUUUUGGGCACGUGAGCUGAAAGUGCUAGCAAAUGCAGCUAAUUGGACACUAGUAUUGGACAUUAUGGAACAAAACAACAAUUUAUUGUGGAACUAGGACUCCUUGCACUGCAUUCUGAUGAAAGAUCAUCAAAGGUUCGCCCUGACCAAGCUGGCCUGUCACGUUGAGGACCUCAUGCUGGACCAGCUCUUAGCCAUGGCCAUCCGCCUGGAUAGUUUCCUGCGUGACCGUCAUCGCCCAUCCAGGAGGUUCGGGUCUCUCCCAGGAACCUCCAGCGAGACUGAGCCCAUGGAGGUUGGCAUGACGCACCUUCCCCUUGAGGAACAUCAAUGUCGCCGUCAACAGGGUCUCUACUCCUACUGCGGGGAGUCGACCACCCCUGAAACACCUGUCCCAGAAAGAGAACCAGCCGAGGAAGUGACAGGCCGAGGAGCACUCCUGCACCUUCCCAGAUCUGCCAUCCACUCUACCAAUGCCCAACAGCCUUACCCAGAAGUGCAUACACUGGGCCAUUUAAUAUUGACAGAGCAGAAAUGGGUGGCUGACAAGGAGAAAACAAACACAACAUGCACACACUCUCUCUCUGUCUCUGUCACACACUUUAUGCCUAAUGUAAAUCAAUUGUAAUACUUGUUUAUUUUAUGUAUAAUCCAUUUUAUUUUAGGAUAGUACAUAUCUACGCCUACAUAUCCAUUAUCAGUAUCUACACAAUUACACUAAAUAUCUAUCAAAUCCAAGUGUGAUUGAUAAUAUUGUAAAAGAGUAUUGCUUAAUGUGUACAGUUUGAGGAAAUUCUCACUCACUCACUCACUCACUCACUCACUCACUCACUCACUCACUCACUCACUCACUCACUCACUCACACACACACACAUACACAUUAGAUCCUAUGUAAAGACACUGUUUAUUUUAUGUAUGCUCCAUUUUAUUUGAGGAUUGUGUGCAGUAAUGUACAUUGACAGCUAUAGCAAUUUUUUGGUUUAUUAUUAUAUUAUUAUAAUUAUAUUUCUCUGAUUAAAAUGAAUGACCAAAAGGAAGUUGGGAAAUCUGCAAACCUCUGAGGGUGUGCAGGUUUUUCAGUGGUGGAAAAAGUACCCAAUUGUCAUACUUGAAUAAAAGUAAAGAUAACAGAAAAUGUCUCAAGGAAAAGUGAAAGUCACGCAGUAAAAUACUACUUGAAGAAAAG